rnacentral:rRNA from 1 species
UCCUACGGGAGGCAGCAGUAGGGAAUUUUCGUCAAUGGGCGCAAGCCUGAACGAGCGAUGCCGCGUGAGUGAAGAAGGCCUUCGGGUCGUAAAGCUCUGUUGCGGGGGAAAAAAGGCAGCAUCAGGAAAUGGGUGCUGACUGAUGGUGCCCCGCCAGAAAGUCACGGCUAACUACGUGCCAGCAGCCGCGGUAAUACGUAGGUGGCGAGCGUUAUCCGGAAUGAUUGGGCGUAAAGGGUGCGCAGG